GUUAACAUUAAAAAGGAAAAGAACCUCACCUUCUCUCUCGUCUCUCUCGUUCUGCACAGAAGAAGAGAGGAGAGAGAAACGAAAAUACAGAGACAGGAAAGCGCAGAGAUAGAGAGAGUGAGUCUCUGAGGACGGACGGACGGACGGGCGGUGUGGCUUUUGAAGGCAGCUAUGCCAGUUGGCUGGCGUCCAAGCGACGGACGGGAAGUCAUCCGUCGCCGGCUUCUGUGGAUGUGGUUGGCCGCACACGACGGGUGAGGAUGCGGCUGGCUGGCUUUUCUAGGCUGCGAGGCGUAGAGUGCGUACGGGAUCAAGGUGUGGUUGGGUUCCGUUGUGGCGCUGACCUCCUAUCCUGGUCUUGUCUGCGGCGUCGGUCGGUUGCCGGUGUUCAGGUUUAAGCGGAUCUUACAGUCACUUGAGUUUUCAGUUCGCCGGUCUUGUGUGGAUGUGGUUGGAUGGUGUGGCUUUGGAAGGAAGGCUUCGAUGUCCUUUUCUUGUCUGGACAAGGAUGUCGUCCUUCACCGGAACCAAAUGAAGGAUGGGGAUGUGGAUAUGGUUGGACGGACGGACGGACGGCGCGGCAUGGAUCAAGGAACACUGGUUGUGUUUGGUUGGACGGACGGCGCUGGAUCAAGGUGCACUGGUUGGGUUGGGUGGUGCCGGUGACCUCCUGGUCUUGUCUGCGGGCUCCGACGGUUGCCGGCUUUCAGGGAUAGGCGGAUCUUAAGUCACUUGAGUUUACUGUUCGCAUACCGGAAUCCGGCAGCUCUUAUCACACGUACCGGAAACUGGCAGCCACCUCCGUCAGCCACCCACCCAACGUACUCUUCCUCUAUGUAGCUUCAGGCCGUUGAGGGAGUCAUUGGCGUGGUUCUGGCUUCCGAUACCUCCCUGAGACUGGCUGAGAAAUGAAGUUAACUCAGUUUGGACAAAUCGAAGUCUUGGAGUGCUGUGAUCAUAAGAAGGAACUGGCUAAUCUGAAAGAUAGAUCUAAGGCAGGAGCUCACAGACAAUAGAAUUUUAGGCUUGCUGAGGGUGGUUAUGGAUGUUUCUACAAAGGUUUCUUGCGAAGAGGGAAGGUAUGUCAUCCUUAUCUCGUUCAUGAUGGCUCUCUGUCCUUUGGCAUUAUUUGUUUCCAGAUAGUUGCAGGGAAAAGCUUGGAAGAAGGAAUUUUGUAUGAUGGUGAGAAGAGAAAAAUUCAUCUUGCCAAUUGAAAUUUAGUUUGUUGGUCUACAUGUAUUGUGGGAUUGUUUUGAAGAAUUUUUUUCUGAUGAUCCAAUCUUUACAUGUUAGAGCUAGCUGGGGGCUGUUGCAAAAUGAUGAAAAGCUUUGGUCCCAGGUUGUAAUUGAUAAGUACUUACAAGGAAAUAACAUCUUGGACGCUAAGAUUGCGGAUUUCUUUGCUAGUUCAAGUAUCUGGAAACAGAUAAUAUCUGUGGUUCAACUUUACCUAAUAAUUCGAGGUGGGGUUAGGAAUAGAGAAUAAUUCUUGUGGUAUGCUGACCGGACAGUUCUCGGUUUUUCUUGGUUUUCAACCAGAUUAACAGCAACUUCUCUGAGCUGAAUUUCUACUGGUUAGUUCUGCAAGGUGUUCAAGAUUAUUUGUAAAAUCUAAUCACACACUCAGGGUGGGGACUAUUAUUUCUGGCAUAUUUCUUCCAAUUGAGUUUAUUUUCCUGUUGAGACGGGUUAUGGGACUCACUUUCCUCAGGGGUCUUGGUCAAUUUGGGAUUGGGAUAUUCCUGUGGCGCUGAAGUCUUUCUUAUGGCUUCUGAUUCAUGGUAAAUUGAUGUCUAAUGAAGCUGAGGUGGAAAGAGGAUUAUCUCAGUUACAAAAGACUUUUGCUGAUUCUUCGAUUCUGAGUGAUUGUUUUGUAUCUGAAGUCUCAGUCCAUAAUGUCUCAUGAAAUCCCUUGGAGUUGCAUCUUUUGCCAUGCUUUUCGACAUUUAUGGAGGCGGCUGUUCAAGUUGAUUUUUAUGCUGGAUUUGUCUUUGUGCUCAGUCAUGCAUAGUUUCAAAUUUUCCACUCUUCGGUAUGAAGCCAAGAGUGACUUGAGUGCUAGCGUACAGUUAGUGGGGAUGAAAUGGAUUAAAAUGACAACGAGUUUCAGAGAGACAGGGAGAACAAGGAAAACUCCAAGAAAUUCUGAUUUGCAGUUCCUGAGGUGAAGGUUUGGGAUCAAAAAUAGUUUCAGUCUCAUCAUGUUUCCUCUAUCAGCUCAGGAGUCUUCUUGUGUAGCCUCCGUUUCUUCAAUCUUCAGAGGAUUCUCAACAGACUGCAGGGUAGUGUGCUUUACUUCCAGGAGCCUCUGUUUCUUCAAUCUUCAGAGGAGUUUGAACAGAGCUUUCCAGAUGGCUGUGAAGUGUGAUAAGUGUGCUGUGAAGUGAUUCGUCCACGGAUCUGGCUAAACAUGUGAGGGCAAAACAUGGCAGCUUCAAAUGCACCUUUAAUGGUUGCAAGAAAGCCGGUUUUGAGACAUUCAAUGCCUUGGUCGCACAUCAGGCGGUGCACAAGCCGAAGUUCCAGUGUGGGAAGAACAAAUGCAAGAUGAUAUUUGAGUCAGCUGGUGAACUAAAGUCACACAAGUGUUCAGUACUUCAGUUGUAUUGAUUUAAAGCUUUAACUUGUUAGAUUGACUGGUUUUUAAUUUCAAACAAGAUGUGUUGAUUUAAACCUUAAGUCUGAACAUAUGAUGACCUUGAGACACUUGUACAUUCAAAGUUGGCGAAGCACCAAAAGCAGAAUGUUAAUGAAACUCUAAAGGUCAUUACCUUAGUUCAUGCCAAAAUUUAUCAGUUCGUUCAAGCAGCAAAGGGCCCAACGGUUUAAGGAAGUUAUCUCAGAUAUUAUGCUGCCAUGGUUGAAGAGACACGAUCCUUGUUUUCAAAGCUUUGCAAAAUAGUGAGGCAGCCACUUGAACAAAAAUGGAUGGAUCUUAGUCCCCAAGGAGAGCCAGCAGAUCUAUGCAAAUCCACGGUUCUAUUCUCUGCAAUAGUCUAUCUUUUAGACCAUCAUUUAUCAGCACGCUCCAAAAAUUCAGAGACAAGUUUAACAGUACUGAUGUCUCCUAAAAUCAAUGAAGAGAUUCACGAUAUGCAGUACAUGAAGAGAUUGACCAAUAAAGCCAUCUUUCAUUUGAUCCCUACUCAAGGGGUUGUAGGAGAAAAGACCAAGGUGCUAUACUGCUACCCACCAUGAUCGUAAGAUUGUGCACUGAGCUCGAGGAUCUGCAUCAUGAAUGCCUCAAAUGUUAAUAAACUUUUGUGCCACUAAUUCCAUUAGCUCUGAUACCUCUA